AAUAGAUACCCAGGUAGUCCACGCCGUAAACGAUGAGUGCUAAGUGUUAGAGGGUUUCCGCCCUUUAGUGCUGCAGCUAACGCAUUAAGCACUCCGCCUGGGGAGUACGGCCGCAAGGCUGAAACUCAAAGGAAUUGACGGGGGCCCGCACAAGCGGUGGAGCAUGUGGUUUAAUUCGAAGCAACGCGAAGAACCUUACCAGGUCUUGACAUCCUCUGACCUCCCUGGAGACAGGGCCUUCCCCUUCGGGGGACAGAGUGACAGGUGGUGCAUGGUUGUCGUCAGCUCGUGUCGUGAGAUGUUGGGUUAAGUCCCGCAACGAGCGCAACCCUUGACCUUAGUUGCCAGCAUUCAGUUGGGCACUCUAAGGUGACUGCCGGUGACAAACCGGAGGAAGGUGGGGAUGACGUCAAAUCAUCAUGCCCCUUAUGACCUGGGCUACACACGUGCUACAAUGGAUGGUACAAAGGGCUGCGAGACCGCGAGGUUAAGCCAAUCCCAGAAAACCAUUCCCAGUUCGGAUUGCAGGCUGCAACCCG
rnacentral:rRNA from 1 species